rnacentral:rRNA from 2 species
UGCAUCAUGAUUUACAUUUGAUCACCAGUGAGUGGCGAACUGGUGAGUAACACGUGGGAAACCUGCCCAGAAGCGGGGGAUAACACCUGGAAACAGAUGCUAAUACCGCAUAACAACUUGGACCGCAUGGUCCGAGUUUGAAAGAUGGCUUCGGCUAUCACUUUUGGAUGGUCCCGCGGCGUAUUAGCUAGAUGGUGGGGUAACGGCUCACCAUGGCAAUGAUACGUAGCCGACCUGAGAGGGUAAUCGGCCACAUUGGGACUGAGACACGGCCCAAACUCCUACGGGAGGCAGCAGUAGGGAAUCUUCCACAAUGGACGAAAGUCUGAUGGAGCAACGCCGCGUGAGUGAAGAAGGGUUUCGGCUCGUAAAACUCUGUUGUUAAAGAAGAACAUAUCUGAGAGUAACUGUUCAGGUAUUGACGGUAUUUAACCAGAAAGCCACGGCUAACUACGUGCCAGCAGCCGCGGUAAUACGUAGGUGGCAAGCGUUGUCCGGAUUUAUUGGGCGUAAAGCGAGCGCAGGCGGUUUUUUAAGUCUGAUGUGAAAGCCUUCGGCUCAACCGAAGAAGUGCAUCGGAAACUGGGAAACUUGAGUGCAGAAGAGGACAGUGGAACUCCAUGUGUAGCGGUGAAAUGCGUAGAUAUAUGGAAGAACACCAGUGGCGAAGGCGGCUGUCUGGUCUGUAACUGACGCUGAGGCUCGAAAGUAUGGGUAGCAAACAGGAUUAGAUACCCUGGUAGUCCAUACCGUAAACGAUGAAUGCUAAGUGUUGGAGGGUUUCCGCCCUUCAGUGCUGCAGCUAACGCAUUAAGCAUUCCGCCUGGGGAGUACGGCCGCAAGGCUGAAACUCAAAGGAAUUGACGGGGGCCCGCACAAGCGGUGGAGCAUGUGGUUUAAUUCGAAGCUACGCGAAGAACCUUACCAGGUCUUGACAUACUAUGCAAAUCUAAGAGAUUAGACGUUCCCUUCGGGGACAUGGAUACAGGUGGUGCAUGGUUGUCGUCAGCUCGUGUCGUGAGAUGUUGGGUUAAGUCCCGCAACGAGCGCAACCCUUAUUAUCAGUUGCCAGCAUUAAGUUGGGCACUCUGGUGAGACUGCCGGUGACAAACCGGAGGAAGGUGGGGAUGACGUCAAAUCAUCAUGCCCCUUAUGACCUGGGCUACACACGUGCUACAAUGGAUGGUACAACGAGUUGCGAACUCGCGAGAGUAAGCUAAUCUCUUAAAGCCAUUCUCAGUUCGGAUUGUAGGCUGCAACUCGCCUACAUGAAGUCGGAAUCGCUAGUAAUCGCGGAUCAGCAUGCCGCGGUGAAUACGUUCCCGGGCCUU